GCCCUGCAAAACAAGUCGCCCAGUCAGUACCAGGGCUUGUGACUCUGAAUUUAUUUAAGGCCAGAUAUAUCUCGCCUAGUGGGAUGCGGGUGGCGCUGUGGGUAAAACCUCAGCGCCUAGGACUUGCCGAUCGCAUGGUCGGCGGUUCGAAUCCCCGCAACAGGGUG